AUUGAACGCUGGCGGCAGGCCUAACACAUGCAAGUCGAGCGGAUGAAGGCAGCUUGCUCCUGGUUUCAGCGUCGGACGCGUGUGUAAUGCCUAGGAAUCUCCUUGGCUUUGGGGGAUAAUGUCCUGAAACGAGUGCUAAUACCGCAUACGUCCUGAGCGUGAAACCGGGGGGUCUUCGGACAUCAUGCUAUCAGAUGAGCCUAGGUCGGAUUAACUAGCUGGUGGGUUAAAUGGCUACCAAGGCGACGAUCCGUAACUGGUCUGUGAGAAUGAUCAGUCACAUUGGAACUGAGACACCCUCCAUACUCCUACGGUAGGCAGCAGUGUGGAAUAUUGGACAGCAGGCGAGAGCCUGAUCCAGCCGUGCCGAGUGUGUUAAGAAAGUCUUCGGAGUGUAAAGCACUUUAAGUUGGGAUGAAGGGCAUUAAGUUGAUACGUUGCUGGUUUGACGUUACCAAGAAAAUAAGCACCGGCUAACUUCGUG
rnacentral:rRNA from 1 species